CCUUCCGCUGCUCGUUCUGAGUCCAUGAAGUCUGGGCCCAUGCAUGUUCGGGGUGGCUUGUCAGAGACAGCGAGCGUCCAUGUUUGUGUCGCUGAGAAAAAGAAAGGCCGUGAAAACCUAGCUAAUCGAGAGCCUCCUGUCCUCCCCAAUCCCGUGCUCCUCUUCCUCCCCAAUUCAUGCCUCUCUCCUCCGCCGCCUCCUCACCUCACCUCGCCAUCCCCGGCCCCUCCGGCGCCGUCCCAUCUUCCCCAGCCCCGUACCUCCUCCCCUCCGCCGUCCCCACCUCCUGUCCGGGACCCUCGCACUAGAUCGACCGGCAGGAAUGACGCUGCAGGAUACGCCGGCUGGACGCCGGUGAGAUGUCUCCGGCCAGCAGGAUGCGCCGGCAGCGGUGCAGCGAGCCACGGCGGGCCUUCGUCUGCGAUGCGCUCCAUCAGUGGACGGAAAAAAACGUUGGAGGAGAAACGAGGGGCGGCGCUGGGACGGAGGUGGAGGAGCAGCGACGGGCGCCUCUUCGGGUGGCGCUGGGUGAAGUUGGUGGUGGGGGCAGGCCGACCGGUGCCGGUCGCGCUCCCUCAGCCAUGGCCUCACUCGUCGUCGUCCUAGUCGCCUCUUCCCCAACCAGAAUCGACUGGCAGAGCAAGGAAUCGAUUGGAAAAUGUGGCUGCUGGCAUAGAGGCUACGACCGGAGUCCGCCGAAACCAACCUGAUACGCUGCGAUUUCUCCUCCCAAGAUUGGUUGAGGAGAGGAGACAGAUCCGUGGCCUAUGGCUUUUGUUGGGGAAGAUGGAGCACCAAAGCUGCAUAAUUGGUUGAGGCUUGCUUGUUUGUUUGCGCUCCUCAACUGACUGUUGUUGUGGACGCCAGCAUUCCACAGGCACGCUCAAGCAGCGAUGCUGAUCUUGCUGACUCAAUCCGCUGGUGAGGCUAAUCCUAGACAGUAAAAGACGGGAACCAAGAAUGCUUGUCAAAAUGACGUUUCAGAAUCGGAGCAAGGCCUGUUAGUGCAGACACAAAUGAAUCUGUGAGUAUUGCAGACACGGAUGAAACACUCCUUGUUGCUGUCCUCUCACAUGUUCACAUGUCAAGCCAUAUGGAUGUCAAGGAGAGUGUUUAUUCGUUGGAAGAGAUGAUGAUUCACGUCAAUGUCGGACAGUUCAUUGAGUGGUGGGAAGCUCCCAAAUACAUCUUUUCCAAACAGAUUCUCAUGCGCUGGUGUGAUGUACCUCGGCUCAUUGAGCAAAACGGUGAGAAGUUCCCAAAAUGGUUCAUUGCUGGUCUUCUUUGCUCCGAGGUGUGAUCCACAUCCCUCUGCUUGAU